rnacentral:rRNA from 1 species
GAUGAACGCUGGCGGCGUGCUUAAUACAUGCAAGUCGAACGAAGCACCUUGGACAGAAUCCUUCGGGAGGAAGACCAUUGUGACUGAGUGGCGGACGGGUGAGUAACGCGUGGGUAACCUGCCUUGUACAGGGGGAUAACAGCUGGAAACGACUGCUAAUACCGCAUAAGCGCACAGUACCGCAUGGUACGGUGUGAAAAACUCCGGUGGUACAAGAUGGACCCGCGUCUGAUUAGCUGGUUGGUGAGGUAACGGCCCACCAAGGCGACGAUCAGUAGCCGACUUGAGAGAGUGAUCGGCCACAUUGGGACUGAGACACGGCCCAAACUCCUACGGGAGGCAGCAGUAGGGAAUAUUGCACAAUGGGGGAAACCCUGAUGCAGCGACGCCGCGUGAAGGAAGAAGUAUUUCGGUAUGUAAACUUCUAUCAGCAAGGAAGGAAAUGA